rnacentral:rRNA from 1 species
UACGUAGGGGGCAAGCGUUGUCCGGAUUUAUUGGGCGUAAAGAGCGUGUAGGCGGCUAUACAGGUCCGCUGUGAAAACUCGAGCUCAACCUCGAGACGCCGAUGGAAACCCAUGUGACUAGAGUCCGGAAGAGGAGAGUGGAAUUCCUGGUGUAGCGGUGAAAUGCGCAGAUAUCAGGAAGAACACCCGUGGCUAAGGCGGCUCUCUAGUACGGUACUGACGCUGAGACGCGAAAGCGUGGGGAGCGAACAGGG